rnacentral:rRNA from 1 species
GAUGAACGCUAGCGGCAGGCCUAAUACAUGCAAGUCGAGGGGUAGAGCUAGCUUGCUAGCUUGAGACCGGCGCUCGGGUGCGUAACGCGUAUGCAACCUACCCUUUUCUGGGGGAUAGCCCGGAGAAAUCCGGAUUAAUACCGCAUAAGACCACGAUACGGCAUCGUGAUGUGGUCAAACAUUUAUGGGAGAAGGAUGGGCAUGCGUGCCAUUAGCUAGUUGGCGGGGUAACGGCCCACCAAGGCGACGAUGGCUAGGGGAUCUGAGAGGAUGGCCCCCCACACUGGUACUGAGACACGGACCAGACUCCUACGGGAGGCAGCAGUAAGGAAUAUUGGACAAUGGGCGCAAGUCUGAUCCAGCCAUACCGCGUGGGUGAAGAAGGCCUUCGGGUUGUAAAGCCCUUUUGUUGGGAAAGAAAUCCAGCUGGCUAAUACCCGGUUGGGAUGACGGUACCCAAAGAAUAAGCACCGGCUAACUUCGUGCCAGCAGCCGCAGUAA